rnacentral:misc_RNA from 1 species
CGCAGCAAAGCGCGAUAGGUAGUGUGAAUUGCAGAAUUCCGCGAAUCAUCGAAUCUUUGAACGCAUAUUGCGCCUGAGCCUCCUGGCUUGGGCAUGUCUGCCUCAGCGUCGGUUCAACUCUUAGCUCUUUCCCUUGGGAAUGGCCUUCCAGCCUUCCUUAAGCGGAAAGCUGCUGUCAUGGUCCUUGCCUGUGGCUGCACUAACCUACCGGUUAAAUGUGCCUGGCACCGACUUAUGAAUGGACGGCAAUACCCGUACCUUGCGCAGCUUGCAUCUUGCAGGCGGUAGGUCCGGUGCCUUGACUUCAAAGGGCUGGAUGGCACUCGAGCCGUACCUCCUUGAACCAAUGGUUAUCGGUCUGCUUCCGUAUAGAGUCAACAAGCGAGACGACAAGGGGAUUGGCGGUUACUUGGUUUAUCAAGCAACCGUCAGUCCAUGGGUUGCCACAGCCUCCGGCCAUAAUCCUGCCGGUUGGCCAACACUUUUAACCUUCGACCUGAGUUCAGGCAGGGUCACCCGCUGAACUUAAGCAUAUC